rnacentral:ncRNA from 1 species
UAGUAGCACUUAUAGGAACUGUCUGGAGUGCACACGAAAGUGUGAAAAAUGCACAUUAUUAAACCCUUGUGCAAGGUA